rnacentral:rRNA from 1 species
CACGUAGGGUGCGAGCGUUGUCCGGAAUUAUUGGGCGUAAAGAGCUCGUAGGCGGUGUGUCGCGUCGUCCGUGAAAACCUGCAGCUUAACUGUGGGCUUGCGGUCGAUACGGGCAUCACUGGAGUUCGGCAGGGGAGACUGGAAUUCCUGGUGUAGCGGUGAAAUGCGCAGAUAUCAGGAGGAACACCGGUGGCGAAGGCGGGUCUCUGGGCCGAUACUGACGCUGAGGAGCGAAAGCGUGGGGAGCGAACAGG